rnacentral:rRNA from 1 species
GGAGUUAGGAAAUGUAGACUCGCUAAUAUCGGGUCUAUUUGACAAAGGCUCCAAAGGAAGCCACGGCUAACUCUGUGCCAGCAGCCGCGGUAAUACAGAGGUGGCAAGCGUUGUUCGGAAUUAUUGGGCGUAAAGAGCGCGUAGGUGGAUUUGUAAGUCAGACGUGAAAGCCUUCUGUUCAACGGAAGAAUUGCAUCUGAAACUACAAACCUUGAGUGUAGGAGGGGAGAGUGGAACUUCUGGU